rnacentral:rRNA from 1 species
AGUGAACGCUGGCGGUAGGCCUAACACAUGCAAGUCGAACGGCAGCACAGUAAGAGCUUGCUCUUACGGGUGGCGAGUGGCGGACGGGUGAGGAAUACAUCGGAAUCUACUUUUCGUGGGGAUAACGUAGGGAAACUUACGCUAAUACCGCAUACGACCUACGGGUGAAAGCAGGGGAUCUUCGGACCUUGCGCGAUUGAAUGAGCCGAUGUCGGAUUAGCUAGUUGGCGGGGUAAAGGCCCACCAAGGCGACGAUCCGUAGCUGGUCUGAGAGGAUGAUCAGCCACACUGGAACUGAGACACGGUCCAGACUCCUACGGGAGGCAGCAGUGGGGAAUAUUGGACAAUGGGCGCAAGCCUGAUCCAGCCAUACCGCGUGGGUGAAGAAGGCCUUCGGGUUGUAAAGCCCUUUUGUUGGGAAAGAAAAGCAGCAGGUUAAUACCCCGCUGUUCUGACGGUACCCAAAGAAUAAGCACCGGCUAACUUCGUG